UAAUUGAAGAGUUUGAUCAUGGCUCAGAUUGAACGCUGGCGGUAGGCUUAACACAUGCAAGUCGUGCGAGAAAGUAUCUUCGGAUAUGAGUAGAGCGGCGGACGGGUGAGUAACGCGUAGGAAUCUACCUAGUAGAAGGGGAUAGCCCGG
rnacentral:rRNA from 1 species